CCUUGGUAGUCUCAGAGAGUUGAUUAUGGCUCAGAACGAACGCUGGCGGCAUGGAUUAGGCAUGCAAGUCGAACGGUGCAGCAAUGCAUAGUGGCGCAAGGGUGAGGAACGCGUGAGUAACCUGCCCUCAAGUUGGGAACAGCUUCUGGAAACGGAAAUUAAUACCGAAUGUGACCAUUGGAAGGCAUCUUCUAUUGGUUAAAGGCCGCAAGGUCGCUUGAGGAGGGGCUCGCGUCCCAUUAUGCUAGUUGGUGAGGUAAAGGCUCACCAAGGCGAAGAUGGGUAGCUGGUCUGAGAGGACGAUCAGCCACACUGGGACUGAGAACUGCCCAGACUCCUACGGGAGGCUGCAGUCGAGAAUUUUGGGCAAUGGACGAAAGUCUGACCCAGCCAAUGCCGCGUGCGGGAUGAAGGUCUUCGGAUUGUAAACCGCUGUCAAGUGGGACGAAACAAAUGACGGUACCGCUGAAGGAAGUCACGGCUAACUACGUGCCAGCAGCCGC
rnacentral:rRNA from 1 species